rnacentral:misc_RNA from 1 species
AGGCUAGCUGGUUUAUUCUUAUACAAAUUAAAAAGAAUGUAGUUUAAUAAAUCUUGCACUUACAGACUUGCAUUAACUUUGCAGCUUCUAAUUGUAUGCAAGUAGCUAAAGCCUUCAUAGUUGAAACCAUUACAUGAUAUUUCAAAAUUAAAUAGAAAAAUAUACAUCAACUUGGAUAAAUAUUACAGCAAAACCUUUAUAAUAGCCUAUGUUAAAGAAAAGCAAAGUAAAAGGCAAUUUUCUAUCGCCUCUGGAAAUUGAAGGCCUUGAUGGAAAUGGCGAAAAUAAAUGCAAAGAGUAAAGUGAUUCCAACAAUAACACCUGCAGAUACUCCAAGGAAAUCAUGCUUAAUACCAUAUAAGUCAUUCACGUAUUGCUCCACUGUUUGACCAGUAUUCCCGAUCUCUGUCUUUAUAUCGGCAAACUGUGAUGCAAAUAAUCCAUACAAAGUCCAUGAUACUGGACAUGCCCAGUAGUACCAUCUCCACCAUACAGGCAUUUUAGUUCUUGGAACAAUGAAUCCAGAAAACAGAUUCCAUAUUGCAUAGAAUGCUGAGGAUACUAUUGAUGCGAUGUGGUGGUUUGGUGUCACAGCGACAGUCAUCAUUCCAUAAAAGGUGAAGUACAAUAAUGUGAAGUACAAGAAGAAUAGAUACCAGAAAAACUUGGCAGCAGUCCAUUCAAACCCAAUCAUUGCAUAUGUUAUAACACUGUAGACUCCAGCUUGAGCAAAAAUAUAUGGAAGUUCAAUCAAGGCCUGUGCAUAGGCAUAGGG